GGGGGCGCAUAGGUUUCGACGUUUUUUUGGAUACCUAGUGGCAUGUCAAGAAUGAGGUUUUCUUGUAAAAAUACUUCAAAACUUUAGUUGCAAAAAACGACAACUACGCUUUAGCUGCUUAAAUAGCUAAACCCAUUGCAAUGAUUGACUAUGGUCAGAAGCAAUGGUCAUUUACAUGGUCUAGUUAAAAACUUUUGUCUAUGAAGUUUUUGAUGAAGUUUUAAUAGGCACAUCUUCAAUGUCCUGCUCUUCGGGUUAUUGAUGAAUUGUUUAAUAGAAUGAGCUAAGCAUGUAGAAGCAAAGUUGAAGGAUUAACGGACGCGGGUUCAAUUCCCGCCGCCUCCACCA
rnacentral:tmRNA from 1 species